UGGCUCAGGAUGAACGCUGGCGGCGUGCCUAAUACAUGCAAGUCGAGCGAACAGACGAGGAGCUUGCUCCUCUGACGUUAGCGGCGGACGGGUGAGUAACACGUGGAUAACCUACCUAUAAGACUGGGAUAACUUCGGGAAACCGGAGCUAAUACCGGAUAAUAUAUUGAACCGCAUGGUUCAAUAGUGAAAGACGGUUUUGCUGUCACUUAUAGAUGGAUCCGCGCCGCAUUAGCUAGUUGGUAAGGUAACGGCUUACCAAGGCAACGAUGCGUAGCCGACCUGAGAGGGUGAUCGGCCACACUGGAACUGAGACACGGUCCAGACUCCUACGGGAGGCAGCAGUAGGGAAUCUUCCGCAAUGGGCGAAAGCCUGACGGAGCAACGCCGCGUGAAUGAUGAAGGUCUUCGGAUCGUAAAACUCUGUUAUUAGGGAAGAACAAAUGUGUAAGUAACUAUGCACGUCUUGACGGUACCUAAUCAGAAAGCCACGGCUAACUACGUG
rnacentral:rRNA from 1 species